AGUGAACGCUGGCGGUAGGCCUAACACAUGCAAGUCGAACGGCAGCACAGUAAGAGCUUGCUCUUACGGGUGGCGGGUGGCGGACGGGUGAGGAAUACAUCGGAAUCUACUUUUUCGUGGGGGAUAACGUAGGGAAACUUCCGCUAAUACCGCAUACGACCUACGGGUGAAAGCAGGGGAUCUUCGGACCUUGCGCGAUUGAAUGAGCCGAUGUCGGAUUAGCUAGUUGGCGGGGUAAAGGCCCACCAAGGCGACGCUCCGUAGCUGGUCUGAGAGGAUGAACAGCCACACUGGAACUGAGACACGGUCCAGACUCCUACGGGAGGCAGCAGUGGGUAAGAUUGGACAAUGGGCGGAAGCCUGAUCCAGCCAUACCGCGUGGGUGAAGAAGGCCUUCGGGUGGUAAAGCCCUUUUGUUGGGAAAGAAAAGCAGCAGGUUAAUACCCCGCUGUUCUGACGGUACCCAAAGAAUAAGCACCGGCUAACUUCGUG
rnacentral:rRNA from 1 species